rnacentral:rRNA from 1 species
AGAGUUUGAUCAUGGUUCAGGAUGAACGCUAGCUACAGGCUUAACACAUGCAAGUCGAGGGGCAGCAUGUUGGUUGCUUGCAACCAACGAUGGCGACCGGCGCACGGGUGAGUAACGCGUAUCCAACCUACCCUUGUCCAUCGGAUAACCCGUCGAAAGGCGGCCUAACACGAUAUGCGGUUCACGGCAGGCAUCUAAGGUGAACGAAAUGUGAAGGAGAAGGAUGGGGAUGCGUCUGAUUAGCUUGUUGGCGGGUAACGGCCACCAAGGCUACGAUCAGUAGGGUUCUGAGAGGAAGGUCCCCCANAUUGGAACUGAGACACGGUCCAAACUCCUACGGGAGGCA